CGUUCAUUGUGAGAUUUUCAAAUCAUUUGGCACAUUUGUUCACCAUCAUUGGAUGGUGUGUCACGCGAAGGAAUUACGUCGAUUUCUCCAAGGUCAAGGCCACACUUUGAGUUCAAAGGUAAAAAAUGGCCAUAAAUGAGCUUCGCGAAAGAAUUACGUGGAUAUCUCCAAGGUGAAGGCCACACUUUGAGUUCAAAGGUAAAAAAUGGCCAUAAAUGAGCUUAUCUGGGCCAUAACUAUGUCGUUCAUUGUGAGAUUUUAAAAUCAAUUGGCACAUUUGUUGACCAUCAUUGGACGGUGUGUCUCGCGAAAGAAUUACGUUGAUAUCUCCAAGGUCAAGGUCACACUUUGAUUUCAAAGGUCAAAAAAGGCCAUAAAUAAGCUUGUCCUGGCCAUAACUAUGUCAUUCAUUUUGAGAUUAUUAAAUCAUUUGUCACAUUUGUUUACCAUCAUUGGACGUUGAGUCGCGCGAAAGUAUUACAUCGAUUUCUCCAAGGUCAACGUCACACUUUGAGUUUAAAGGUAAAAAAUGACCAUAAAUGAGCUUGUCAUGGCAAUAACUAUGUCGUUCAUUGUGAGAUUUUAAAAUCAUUUGGCACAUUUGUUCACCAUCAUUGGACGGUGUGUCGCGCGAAAGAAUUACACCAAUAUGACCAAGCUCAAGGUCACACUGAGUUUAAAGGUCAAAAAUGGCCAUAAAUUAGCUUGUCCGGGCCAUAACUAUGUCGUUGAUUGUGAGAUCUAAAAAACAUUUGUUCAACAUCAUUGGACAGUGUGUCACACGAAAGAAUUAUGUCGAUAUUUCCAAGGUCAAGGUCAUAUUUUUAGUUCAAAGGUCAAAAAUGGCCAUAAAAGAUCUUGUCCAGGCCAUAACAAUGUCAUUCAUUGUGAGAUUUUAAAAUGACUGUGCAUUUUUUUUUCACAGUCAUUAGAUGGGGUGUCAUGCGAAAGAACUCAAGAGUUAGAAGGUCAAAAUGGCCAUAAAUGAUAAUGGCAUAAUAAUUCUUAAAAAUCGCCAUAUUAAAAUUAGCUUCUCUUGUUUUGUAAAGACAGCAUGCAAAAUAGUCUGUGUUAAUGCAGCAUGUGGGGGUAUACAUCACGUCUGUGACAAAGCUCUAGUUUAAUUAUCUGUAUUGAUGGACACCUGCUAAUAAUUGUUAUCAGUGUUUUUAUAUGGCUAUUUCGGGGCCGAUAUUCGGCCCCAUUCCCCUCAAAAAAGAGUAUAUAUUUUUUCCCCAUUUUGUAAAAAUAAUCCCCUGUAGAAGUUAAAAAAAAAAUAUAAUUUUUUUUUUUUUUUUUUUAGAAAGAACUGUCCCAUAAUCAUGAUAAAUAUAUCUCAAAUUUAUUUCAUAAACAACUAACAAAGUAUAUAACUAUAAUUUAUAUUAUUUUGAAUUCUUUUAAAGAGUUGUAUUAAAUAGUUUUUCCCAAAUCAGUGGACUUUUCACAUUAAUUGCAUUUUUCUCCCAAAAUGGCCAAGAAAAGGCCUGAUGUAUCUAUUUUGUGUCAAUAUUGGUUGAUAAAAUCAUUCCAAUUUGGUCCAUUUUAUUGAUAAAAAAUGAUCAAAUUUGCCAUUUUAUCGAUUUAAAAGAUCCCAAAUAGACUCAAAAUGGCUAAGAAAACUGAGACUGUGCAUGAAGGCUGAAAUGUCUGAAACUAAUGUUGAAAAUAUCAUUGAUAUAUAUAUUUUAAUUUUAAGAAAAAGGACAAAGACAUUCAGCUGUGAAUAUUAUAUUCAUACAAACAUGUGUAUCAAUAUAAUAAAUAUCAUUACAUAUAAACAAGUGAAUUUUUAAUUUUCCCCUUUUCCUAAAAAACGACGCAUUUUUUCCCUUUUGGACGGGCCCCGCCACCAUUCCCCUAUAAGUGAAAAAAAAACACUGGUUAUAUAGAAAUGAAACUGCCUUGUGUGUCAUAGUCUAUCCUUUCAAAGUUUGCAAAAUUGAACAUGAAGUUUUGUUUGCAUGAAAAAAGAUCUAGCAAUUGCUAUCUUUUAAGUGUUGCCUCAGUUGUUAUGUUAAAAACAAAAGUGUUUUUUACCAAACAAAUGAUAACAUAUUUAACAUAAAUAUGCUGUAAUAAAGGUACAUGUAUUAUGUUUAGUAAUUUUAUUGAUGUAUUGAUAUUUGAUUAUAUAUUGAUUUUAUAUGUUCUGAUAAAAAGAUGCUUCAUAAUCCAGUUGUUGUUUAUGGCAUAUACAUGUAAAUAUGUGUCUGUUAUUAAUCAUUAAAAAUUGCAACUUAUGAUAUUUGGUAUGGGUGCCAUUGUUGUCCCCUACCGGUCUGUCAGUCUGUCCGUCACACUUUUCUGGAUCCUGCGAUAACUUUAAUAGUUCUUCAUAUUUGUUCAUGAAACUUUAAACAUGGAUAGAUGGCAAUAUGGAGAUUAUGCACAUCAUUAUACCCCCAUUACCAUUGGUAAUGGGGGCUUUAUAGGAGUCACUUUGUCGGUCGGUCGGUCUGUCCCGAAAUUUCAUCCGAUCUUCACCAAACUUGGUCACAAGUUGUAUCUUGAUGAUGUAAAGGUCAAGUUUGAAUAUGGGUCACGCUGGGUCAAAAACUAGGUCACGGGGUCACUUAGUGUGUUUUAAACCGAACGUUUGUCCGGACCAUAACUAUGUCAUUUAUCGUUAGAUUUUAAAAUAACUUGGUAAAUUUUUACACCAUCAUGGGACAGAGUGUCGCAUGAAAAAAGUGCGUCGAUAUCUCCAAGGUCAAGGUCACACUUGGAGUUCAAGGGUCAAAUGCCUGUCCGGGCCAUAACUUUAUCAUUUAUUGUGAGAUUUUAAAAUCAUUUGGCAAAUUUGUUCACCAGCAUGGGACGGUUUGUCGCGCAAAAGAAUUAUGUCAAUAUCUCAAAGGUCAAGGUCACACUUUGAGUUCAAAUGUUGAAAAUGGCCAUAAAUGGGCUUUUCUGGGCAAUAACUAUGUCGUUCAUUGUGAGAUUUUAAAAUCAUUUGGCAUAUUUGUUCACCAUCAUUGAACCGUGUGUGUCGCGCGAAAGAAUAACGUCAAUAAAUCCAAGGUCAAGGUCACACUUUGAGUUCAAAGGUCAAAAAUGGCCAUAAAUGAGCUUGUCCGGGCCAUAACUAUGUUGUUCAUUUUGAGAUUUUAAAAUCAUUUGGCACAUUUGUUCACCAUUAUUGGACGGUGUGCCGCGCGAAAGAAUUACGUCGAUAUCUGCGACGUCAAGGUCACACUGUGAGUUCAAAGGUCAAAAAUGGCCAUAAAUGAUCUUGUCCGGGCCAUAACUAUGUCAUUUAUUGUGAGAUUUAAAAAAAAACUGGUACAUUUGUUCACAAUCAUUGGACGAUGUGUCAUGCGAAAGAAUUAUGUCGAUAACUCCAAGGUCUAGGUCACACUUGGAGUUCAAAAGUAAAAACAUGGCGAUAAAUUUGGACGGCAUGUCAUGCAAAAGAUUUAAAGAGUUCAAAGGUCGAAAUGGCCAUAUAUGAUAAUGGCAUAAUAAUUCUUAAAAAUCGCCAUAAAUUUGAUUCUCUUGUUUUGUGAAGACAGCAUGCAAAAUAGUCUGUGUCAAUGCGGCAUGUGGGGGUAUAUGUCACAUCUGUGACAAAGUUCUAGUUUCAUUUUGUUCCUUCGUCAAUAAUUCUGGUUGCUAUGGCAACAAAUAUAUAUAAAAAAUCUGACAAUGGUGUAGUUUCACCGGUAGGGGACCAUAUUGCUUGGCAAUCUCUUGUUGUAUGAGUGCCUUUUGUAGUGCAUGGAGUCAUAAUACUACAUAAUUUUUGUGUUGAAAGAACAAUAUUCUGGAAAUCAAUAAAAUUAGUUGGAAGAGUUUGACAAUUAAACAUAUUCAAGGAUAAA